rnacentral:rRNA from 1 species
CUCUUCCGAUCUUACGUAGUGAGGUUAAGUUGAUAGGUGGAGUUGGAGUGAAAGUGAGUUUUAAAUGGGUGAAUAGUUGCGUGUAUUAUAAUUCGAAGUGGGGUGAUCUAUACAUGGCUAGGAUGAAGCGUGGGUAAAAUCACGUGGAGGUCCGAAUUUGUGAGAUUUGAAAAUCUCUGGGAUGAGCUGUGUAUAGGGGUGAAAGGCCAAUUAAAUUUUGUGAUAGUUGGUUUUUUUUGAAAGAUAUUUAGGUAUUGUUUUGAGUAAUUAAGUGUUGGAGGUAGAGUAUUGGAAUGGUUAGGGGUUUUAUUAGAUUAUUAAAUUGUACCAAAUUUUGAAUGUUGGCAAUUGUUAUUUUAGGAAGUAGUCAGUGGGUGAUAAUGUCCAUUGGUAAGAGGGGAAUAAUUUAGAUUGAUAGCUAAGGCUUUUAAAUUUAGACUAAGUGAAUAUUAGAAAGGAUGUGGUAGGUUAUUGAUAAUUAGGAGAUUGGUUUAGAAGUAGUUAUUUUUUAAAGAAAGUGUAAUAGUUUAUUGGUCAAGAUAGGUUGUGUUGAAAAUGUAAUGGGGUUUAAGUUUAGUGUUGAAGUUUUGGGUUAUGUAUGUUUUGAUAUGUAUGGUGGUAGGGGAGUGUUUUAAUAGUAGUGAAGUAUGAUUGUAAGGGUGUGUGGAGUGGUUGGAAGUGUUGAUGUUGAAAUGAGUAGUGAUAAAGGGUGUGAGAAAUACCCUUGUUGUAAACCUAAGGUUUUUUGGGGUAGGUUAAUCCUUUUAGGGUUAGCCGGGUUUUAAGCCGAGGCCGAAAGGCGUAGGUGAUGGGAAGUAGGUUAAUAUUUUUGUGUCAUCUUAUAGACGUUGAAUUGAGGAGUGAUGGAGAAGGUUAGGUGGGUUGGGUGUUGGAUGUUUUGGUUUAAAGUUGUAGGGGUGUUUUGUAUGAUGAAAAGGUGAGGUAGUUAUUUUUGAGAGUUGAAUGUGAGUGUGUAAGUGUGAAGCCGUUGAUAUUAUGUUUUUAAGAAAAUUUUUGUAGGGAGUCUAUAGGGUGUUUGUAUUGUAAAUUGAUUUAGGUGGGUGAGGAGAAAAUUUUAAGGUGAUUGAGAGAAUUUUUUUUUAAGGAAUUAGGUAAAUUGAUAUUGUAAUUUUGGAAGAAGGUGUGUUUUUUGUAGGUGUAGAUGAAUAAUUGAAGUUGAGAAGGGUUGUAGAGAAAUGGUGGUAGUGAUUGUUUAUCAAAAAUAUAGGACUCUGUGAAGGUGAUAAGCCGAUGUAUAGGGUCUGAUUUUUGUCUGGUGUUGGAAGGUUAAGGGGAUUUAUUAGCCGUAAGGCGAAGUGAUGAUCCGAAGCCUUAGUAAAUGGUGGUUGUAAUUAUAAUGGUUUUAAGGUAGUGAAAUUUCUUGUUGGGUAAGUUUUGAUCUGUAUGAAUGGAGUAAUGAUUUUUGUAUUGUUUUGGAGAGGGACUCAGUGAAAUUGAAAUAGUUGUGUUGAUGUAGUUUAUUUGUAGAAAGAUGGAAAGAUUCUGUGAAUUUUUACUACAACUUGACAGUGACACUAGGGAUUGAUUGUGUAGAAUAGGUGGGAGUUUUUGAAGCCGGGCCGUUAGGUUCGGUGGAGGUAAUAGUGAAAUAUUAUUUUGUUGAUUUCUGGUGUUUAACCGUGUCCCAUUAAUUGGGAUCGGGAUAUUGUCUGGUGGAUAGUUUGAU